rnacentral:lncRNA from 1 species
CUUGAUUAUUUCUCAAGGUAUAAAUAAAUGGAUUCAAAGUAGGUGAAACAGAAAAAAUGAGCAGUGAAACCACUUUUUUAAUAGUCACUUCUCCCUUUGCUGUAGGAUUCAUGUAGAUGAAAAUGCACGUUCCAUAGGUGAUGGAAACCACAAUCAUGUGGGAAGAGCAGGUCGAAAAAGCCUUUUUCCUUUGCUGGUCAGAAGGGAACCUAAAAAUUGUCUUGAUGAUGUAAGCAUAGGACAGAACUACACAAGUGAGAGUCAUAUUCAGGGUCAGCACAGCACAGAUUAUAACUCUGUUCCAUGGGCCAUGUGUCUGAGCAUGAGAUUUUCACUAAGGGAAACGCAUCACAGCCGAAAUGAUCAAGCCUGUUAGAGUCACAGAAUUUCAGAUUUAAACCCAGGCUAAGUGGUGGGAUUAAAACACAGAGACCAGCCAUCCAACAAGAGCUGAUGAGAAUCCCACAGACUCUGCUGCUCAUGAUGGUCACAUAAUGCAGGGGUUUGCAGAUGGCCACGUAGCGGUCAUAGGACAUGGCGGCCAGGAGAAAAAACUCUGUUAUUCCACAGAGGUCAGUGAAACACACUUGAAUGAAACAAGCAUUAUAGGUAAUGAUCUUGUCACCUGUUGCUAUGCUAUAUAGGUAUCUGGGGAUGCAAGAAGAUAUGAAUGAGACCUCCAAGAAGGAGAAAUUUUUUAAGAAAAAGUACAUGGGUGUUUUCAGGUGGGAAUCCACAAAGUUAGUACCCAUUCUGACCAAUUCACCCUUCUCCUUACAGAUUAUCAUCUCUAUAUUUUGAAGAAAGGCACAUGAACACAAUGUUUAAGAAUCAAUAAUCAUAUAUCUACAUACCUAAAUAGAUAUCUACUUUAAGAAUUGCAAUGAUAAAAACAAUAUGCAGAACUCAUGGCAAUACCGGGUCCGUUAGGAAGUUGAAGACGAGAUCUACAAAUGGUAGAACAUAAUGGCAGCAUCUUACAGGUAAAAGAUUUCAGAGAUGAUUUUGUCCAAUCUUUUACCCAAAGCUAAAAUCUCCUCCACAAAAUUUAGAUGUCUAUUUAUCCAGGGUUUUAAGACUGAAUUAAGUAUUAACUUAGGGAGAAAAUAAAUUUUAGGAUGUAAAUGUAAGAAUGAAAUCU